AGAGUUUGAUCAUAGCUCAGGAUGAACGCUAGCGGUGCGCCUAACACAUGCAAGUCGAGCGAUGAAGUUUUCUACACAGAGCAGAAAAACAAUAUACCUUUUCUCUUCUCUGUGUAGAAAAUAGAUUAGCGGCAAACGGGUGCGUAACACGUUGAUACUUCCCCCUAAGUCAGGGAUAGCCUGGAGAAAUCCAGAUUAAUACCGGAUAGUCCCGAAAGGGUAAAGCAGCAAUGCGCUCAGGGAAAGGUCUGCGGCCUAUCAGCUAGUUGGUGAGGUAAUAGCUCACCAAGGCAAUGACGGGUAGCUGGUCUGAGAGGACGGCCAGCCACAAUGGGACUGAGACACGGCCCAUACUCCUACGGGAGGCAGCAGUGAGGAAUCUUCCACAAUGGGCGAAAGCCUGAUGGAGCGACACCGCGUGAAGGAUGAAGCCUUUGUUGGUGUAAACUUCUUUUCUCUUGGAAGAUAAUGACGGUACAAGAGGAAUAAGGGGCGGCAAACUUCGUGCCAGCAGCCGCGGUAAUACGAGGGCCCCAAGCGUUAUCCGGAAUUACUGGGCGUAAAGCGUCUGUAGGUGGUUUUUUAAGUUUCGUAUGAAACUCCAGGGCUCAACCCUGGAUUGUGCGAAAAACUGGGGAACUUGAGUGUGGGAGAGGCAAGCAGAACGGUAUGAGUAGGGGUGCAAUCCGUUGAUACAUACCAGAAUACCAAAAGCGAAGGCAGCUUGCUGGAACACUACUGACACUGAGAGACGAAAGCGUGGGGAGCGAAAGGGAUUAGAUACCCCUGUAGUCCACGCCCUAAACGAUGGAUGCUAGGUGUUGGACGUAAGUUCAGUGCUCAAGCUAACGCAUUAAGCAUCCCGCCUGAGGAGUACGGCCGCAAGGUUAAAACUCAAAUGAAUAGACGGGGACCCGCACAAGCAGUGGAUCAUGUGGUUUAAUUCGACAAUAAACGAGGAACCUCACCUAGGCUUGACAUUGAUAGAAUCCACCAGAAAUGGAGGAGUGCC
rnacentral:rRNA from 1 species